UCACCAAUGUGUCAGAGCAGUGUCUCAGC
rnacentral:piRNA from 1 species